GACGAACGCUGGCGGCGUGCUUAACACAUGCAAGUCGAACGGAAAGGCCCUGCUUUUGUGGGGUGCUCGAGUGGCGAACGGGUGAGUAACACGUGAGUAACCUGCCCUUGACUUUGGGAUAACUUCAGGAAACUGGGGCCAAUACCGGAUAGGAGCUCCUGCUGCAUGGUGGGGGUUGGAAAGUUUCGGCGGUUGGGGAUGGACUCGCGGCUUAUCAGCUUGUUGGUGGGGUAGUGGCUUACCAAGGCUUUGACGGGUAGCCGGCCUGAGAGGGUGACCGGCCACAUUGGGACUGAGAUACGGCCCAGACUCCUACGGGAGGCAGCAGUGGGAAUAUUGCACAAUGGGCGGAAGCCUGAUGCAGCAACGCCGCGUGCGGGAUGACGGCCUUCGGGUUGUAAACCGCUUUCGCCUGUGACGAAGCGUGAGUGACGGUAAUGGGUAAAGAAGCACCGGCUAACUACGUGCCAGCAGCCGCGGUGAUACGUAGGGUGCGAGCGUUGUCCGGAUUUAUUGGGCGUAAAGGGCUCGUAGGUGGUUGAUCGCGUCGGAAGUGUAAUCUUGGGGCUUAACCCUGAGCGUGCUUUCGAUACGGGUUGACUUGAGGAAGGUAGGGGAGAAUGGAAUUCCUGGUGGAGCGGUGGAAUGCGCAGAUAUCAGGAGGAACACCAGUGGCGAAGGCGGUUCUCUGGGCCUUUCCUGACGCUGAGGAGCGAAAGCGUGGGGAGCGAACAGGCUUAGAUACCCUGGUAGUCCACGCUGUAAACGGUGGGUACUAGGUGUGGGGUCCAUUCCACGGGUUCCGUGCCGUAGCUAACGCUUUAAGUACCCCGCCUGGGGAGUACGGCCGCAAGGCUAAAACUCAAAGGAAUUGACGGGGCCCCGCACAAGCGGCGGAGCAUGCGGAUUAAUUCGAUGCAACGCGUAGAACCUUACCUGGGUUUGACAUGGAUCGGGAGUGCUCAGAGAUGGGUGUGCCUCUUUUGGGGUCGGUUCACAGGUGGUGCAUGCCUGUCGUCAGCUCGUGUCGUGAGAUGUUGGGUUAAGUCCCGCAACGAGCGCAACCCUUGUUCACUGUUGCCAGCACGUUAUGGUGGGGACUCAGUGGAGACCGCCGGGGUCAACUCGGAGGAAGGUGGGGAUGACGUCAAGUCCUCAUGCCCCUUAUGUCCAGGGCUUCACGCAUGCUACAAUGGCUGGUACAGAGAGUGGCGAGCCUGUGAGGGUGAGCGAAUCUCGGAAAGCCGGUCUCAGUUCGGAUUGGGGUCUGCAACUCGACCUCAUGAAGUCGGAGUCGCUAGUAAUCGCAGAUCAGCAACGCUGCGGUGAAUACGUUCCCGGG
rnacentral:rRNA from 1 species